AACCAGAAAACCUGUACAUCUUAUAUAUAAAGUUCUAUCCUCCGGACUCCGGUUUUGCAGUGCGUGCUAUGCUUCCUCAUCUUCGUCUUCCUCAUCGCUGAUCACGUACUUCUUCUGCUUCUUGCUGGCCUUGUCGUCCUCUUCCGCUUUCCUUUUGCCCGAGGGCUCCCCCUCCUCGUGGCUGCUAAGGUUUCUUUGCCUUCAGCAACCUCUGGGCUUUAUCUUCAUCUGACCCUUCAUGCUGUCCGAAGAAUAAAUCCGAGCACGCUCCUCU